GAUGAACGCUGGCGGCGUGCCUAAUACAUGCAAGUCGAGCGAAUGGAUUAAGAGCUUGCUCUUAUGAAGUUAGCGGCGGACGGGUGAGUAACACGUGGGUAACCUGCCCAUAAGACUGGGAUAACUCCGGGAAACCGGGGCUAAUACCGGAUAACAUUUUGAACCGCAUGGUUCGAAAUUGAAGGGCGGCUUCGGCUGUCACUUAUGGAUGGACCCGCGUCGCAUUAGCUAGUUGGUGAGGUAACGGCUCACCAAGGCAACGAUGCGUAGCCGCCCUGAGAGGGUGAUCGGCCACACUGGGACUGAGACACGGCCCAGACUCCUACGGGAGGCAGCAGGAGGGAAUCUUCCGCAAUGGACGAAAGUCUGACGGAGCAACGCCGCGUGAGUGAUGAAGGCUUUCGGGUCGUAAAACUCUGUUGUUAGGGAAGAACAAGUGCUAGUUGAAUAAGCUGACACCUUGACGGUACCUAACCAGAAAGCCACGGCUAACUACGUGCCAGCCGCCGCAGUAA
rnacentral:rRNA from 1 species